GAUGAACGCUAGCGGCAGGCUUAAUACAUGCAAGUCGAGGGACAGCACAGGUAGCAAUACUGGGUGGUAACCGGCAAACGGGUGCGGAACACGUACACAACCUUCCUUUAAGUGGGGGAUAGCCCAGAGAAAUUUGGAUUAAUACCCCGUAAUAUAGUUGAAUGGCAUCAUUUGAUUAUUAUAGCUACGGCGCUUAAUGAUGGGUGUGCGGCUGAUUAGAUAGUUGGCGGGGUAACGGCCCACCAAGUCUACGAUCAGUAGCUGAUGUGAGAGCAUGCUCAGCCACACGGGCACUGGGACACGGGCCCGACUCCCACGGGAGGCAGCAGUAAGGAAUAUUGGUCAAUGGACGCAAGUCUGAACCAGCCAUGCCGCGUGAAGGAUUAAGGUCCUCUGGAUUGUAAACUUCUUUUAUUUGGGACGAAAAAGGGCCUUUCUAGGUCAACUGACGGUACCAGAUGAAUAAGCACCGGCUAACUCCGUGCCAGCAGCCGCAGUAACAC
rnacentral:rRNA from 1 species